GCGAAAUUCUUCGUGACAGUUGCUUGCAUGAGAACUUUCAGUAAUAAGUAUGAUAAAACAAGCACCUGGUCAUUUCAUGCCUUUCAAAUUCUACUUUCACACUCCAUACUGGGAGUACUCAGGUUUGGGCCCCCUAAAAGUACGUCUUAUAUGUUAGUGGGGGUCAUGCAGAGGAUUAGUUGGUAUGAAACUACAUAAGGGUAUUGUACUUAAUUUUUAAGUGUAAAGCUCCAAAGGAAGAAACAGUACUCUCAUUUUAUCAUUUUAUCAAAAUUUCAACUUUGUUGGAACAGGUGGGAAAUAAUAACAUAAUUCAAUGCACUUGUUUUUAAGCAAAAUGUAAAACAUAAAAAGUGAUCCCAAAAAAUGUCAUCCUAUAAUAGAUACAUAAUAUCCUAUAAUAUAUCCUUUUAUUUAGUUGCCACAUAGUUUGCAUAAGUAUGUAUAUAGUUGAACAUUAUGAGAAUUAGUAUGGUAGAUAGAUGAUAAUUUUAUUUAUGUUUUGCAUGCUUGUAAUUUCUUAAUUUUGCUUAUUACAGUAUCAUAAAUAGCGUUUUUUCUGUUUUUCUAUAUUUAUUACUUACAUAAUAAUGAAAUUCAAUUAUGUACUAUAGCUUCCAUCCUAACAUUAUAUAAAUUUUUGUAACGAUUUAAAGAAGUAUAAAUAAUAUGGAUGAAAUUUAAACUUUUUAUCAUUUAUAACAAACUUCUAUUCUCUAAUUCAAAUAGUGAUUAUCAAUUAGUUUUGCUUUGAAAUAUACAAUAUUAUCUAAAUAUUAAUUGUUUCAUAGAAAUUUCAUUAAGUAGAAAAUGAAAUAGAUAAUGAAAUUUUUAUUUUUGUUAAGAGCUAAAAGUAUCCAUUAAUUACAUUAUUUCUCACAAGUUCCAACUGUGCAUUUACUUUUAUAUCUGUAACAAAAUUAUUGAUUAUUUAUUUAUAUAUCAUAUUCAAAAAUUAAAAAUUGUUACUUUUCACAUCUUUUUUGUCUUUUCCUUUAAAUUUCUGGAAACUGAUAUGAACGUAGGUAAACAGUCAGAAAAUUUGACUUUUCAUAAUAGUUCUAAGAACAUUAGAUCUAGAAAAACAUUUACAACUUUGAUGUUUAAAAACAACUAAUUCACGCUAUAAAACAUAGUGAAUAGUAGCACUCAUAAUAUGUAUGUGUGGUAUAGAGCAUAUUAUCUUUAGCAAUAUUGUUUCCAGGAGCUCCAUUUCUUACAUCAGCAACCAGUGUAGCAAGGUAUUUAAGGAUCUUCUACAAUUGGUACUCUAUGAUCGUUGAUAUUAUAUCAUUGGCAUUAUUCACUGCUGGUAUCUUACAAGGAUAU